ACUCUGCCGCGCACACUUCACUACCCUCCGCACCCCCCCAUCCCCACCCCCCUUUUGCUUCCUCUGCCUUUCUAAUUCUCAAUCUGCUUAACCAGGCUUUAGAGGCCAAGCAAAUCUGAGAUCAAUUUUCUCGUUUAGCUCUAAGUGACAUCAUCUAAAAUCAUUGUGCAAGGGCUAAAUAAGGAAACGGAGUCUAAUUCAGGGGCAAACGCCAGGCUAUAUUUAUCAAACGCCAAGCUCCAGAAAGCCUCGGCUAGGAAGCCUCGGCAGUGAAAUCCGAGGUUUCGCUGCUUGGUUCCACUGGGCCUGGGUGGGCCGGGCUGGGCCGGGCUGGGCCGGGUCAGAUCUGUGCCACCUCCGCAGACCUAUUUCUUCCUCCAGGGCUCGGGGUUGCCCGCUCCCGGAAUCCCGGAGUCUCCGCGGCCCGAACCGAGUCUGGACCAUUUAGAAGACGCCGGCAGGUAACUGGCCUCCCCAAACGCCCCGAAAAUUAAAAGCCUUAGGAGGCUUGUUCUGUGUUUGUGGUUUUGUAAAGGCAAUGCCCGCGGCAAUAGGCCUGGGAAAGUCGCACUUUCAUCCACAAAGUUGAGGAGUUGCAAGGAAUAAUUGGGUGUCACACCACAAGCAACCUUGACUCGAUCGGACCCCACCCAGGAUACACACAGACGCGCGCGCGCGCACGCUUCCGAGUUUCCAUUGAGAGUCUGGAAAGAGCAUUUCUUUCUUAAGUACCUGCGCUCAGCUAGAGCUCUCCCGGAGCAUUUUAAAUACUGAAUGCCGAGCGGAGAAGGGAAACAGAGUGUAUUAAUCCCCACUCCGGUUGCCGGUGUCUGCAAGCCUCCUCUAAGCAGCGCAGGCGGCAGCCUGGAUGUCUGUGCGCAUCAAGGAGACUUGCCGGCGCCAGAGUUGUGUCCACAGGUGCACUUGUGCCUCCCAAAGAGCGCGCGUAGAGACCAUUUCCCCUGCAACGCCCCCCAGCCGAACACCCGCCGGGUGUGGCACCUCGGCCGAAACUCCUGGGGCGGCGCGGUGGAGCGUGUGGAGGUUUCCGGGAAGACGCCUACGGCUGCGGCUCCGACUGUGCGGGCUCCCGCCGCCCAGGCAAGAGCGUCCAGGAGCGCGCUGGAAGCUGCGGCGCGCACCUUCCCCGGCGCAGUCUCUUGCCAGCCGGCGAUCACGCAGAGCUGAACCCCGCAGCUAGGCGCGCAGGAAGGGCUGCACAGAGUUUGAAGACACGGCAGCUGUAAGCUGGCGUGAGGAGGCCAAAGGAGCGCGCAGAGCUGCAAGCAAAGGGCGGUGGGGCCUGGACCCUGAAGUGAGUGGCCGACCGCAGCAGCUCAAGGUGCCAUCUGCCUGGUGAGUUAACCCCACGUGGCUGUGAGACAGGUGGUGGCGGGUGUCAGGUAUUGGGCCAAGUGUAGUGGGGGCGUCCUUCUGCUAGAGCUCUGAAAAGGGUUGGCCCCGGAAGGCUGGAUAACGGCGGACUAGAAACCCUGGCAUUAUUAAGUCCCUGAGCAAUUUCACUCAAAGAUGCGAAACUGGACCUUAAACGAAGGAAAUUGACGUCAAAGUAUUCCCUCCUCUCUACCCCAUUCUCAACACAUGCCAGGCAAGCUACCCGGGUCCCUCCGCCCCACUCUAACUUUCCGCGAAAAUCAGUUCCGCCUCUGCCCCAAGAGCCAAGAGGGGUGGAAAGGAAGAGAGCUUGGGCUGGGAACGCGCCUGAUGUCUAACAGAAAGGCAGUGGCAGCUGGGUGAGUGGUGGGAAAGCUCACAGGCUGAAGAAAUGGGGGAGGGGGAGUGAGUCUUAUUGGAAGUUGAGGACAGCCAAGGGGCAAGAUGGGGGGAGAGGUCUGGCUGAAUACGACGGGCUUCAGCAGCUAGGCCUGGGAGUGCCUCGUUUCAGGCCUCGAGGUGGCUUCAGGCUGGGACAACUGAUGCAGCAGAGAAGGGCAGAGCGCCCGGGGGGAGAAAGCAAAGAGGCGCUACACUCCAAGGCGGCCCUUUGGAACCGUCCUUGGCCCGGGUGCACCUACUUUGGAUUCGCCCAGACUGCAAAUUUUUCUUUCCUUUUGCUGGGGCCACGGGACAGAGCACCUGGGCAGAGCAAGCGGAGAGGCGCCACAUCCCCGAGAGGCGCUUCGUAGUUGUCCUUGGACCGGGCGCAGACACUCAGUAUUGGUCAGCGCUGGAAAUUUUCUUUCCUUUUGCUGUUGGGGCCGCAGAACCAGUCUCCUCCUUUCCCCUGCUCAGACAAAGGGCACGGGAAGGGCUUUGCUGGGGCAAAGGGGGGUGGGGGGUUCUCUGUCCCACGACAGAUGGGUCGCGGUUAAGACUUUAAUUGCUGACUUUUGGGCCGGAUCAGAUUCCUUUUCCUACCUGCCACUUCCCAGCAGCGAAAAAUCCCCCUCCUGCUGCACUCCUCCGCCACCGGGCUAGGUUGAAAGGAAAAAGCCAAGAAGCGCGAAGCAGCCCGGCUCUGGAAGGCUUUGGAGAGUCCAGCUGACUUGUACACAAUUCGCGGCCUCUGGAGCCUUACCUGCCUUCUUGACUGAAUGCCACCAGUUCGUUUUACGCUUGUGGCUUUUUGUUGAAGUCCCUAUCAUAAGCAAAUGCAGUUUCUGGCUAUGGUUACUGCAAUUCGAAAUAAAAGGCCUGUGAGGUGUGUCCCUCCAGACUGAGAGGCUAUGACUCAGGGUUGGACUUUAUGGAAAAAAAGAAGUUUAUAAAACAAGUAACCCAGUUUCUCCAACCUUUACUGUGGAGCAACAGCGUCAAGCAACAAAACCCAGCAAAGUUUUGCUUGUCACUUACAAGGGUGUUACUGAAAUCUGGAAGGCGAACAAUUAGAAGAUAGCCCAAACAUGCUCUAUUGCUCUACACUGAAAUACUUGCCUCCAAUAAUAGAAAAAACCUGUUUUCGUGCAAUUGAUUGAUUAGCGUUCUGCAGCAGUCCCUGGACAAUUUUAAAGACAUUUUGUGUUUGUGGCCAAAAUUAGAAACAAGCAGACACACACACAAAACAACCAUAUUCAAGACACGGUUCGACUGUUUCCUUGACACUACCCACGAAGUUUAAAGCAUUUUUUAUGUUAUUUUCAAACUUUCUUAAGUGAUCCCAUGAAAUAAAAGUCGAUAAUAGAAAUUAAAACAACACAGAGCAAAGAACGAGCUUAGUGAAAUGGAGAAGCAGUAGAGGUAAAUAAAAAUCCUCGAGCUAGAAAGCUCUAAGAACCGCUUAUAAAUUCAGUUACCUCCUGAACUCCGGCCGAUGGCCACUCCGGCCCGGGAGUGCCCCGCGCCGACCCGCUGGCCUUGGCCGUCUCAGCCUUCAUUAUCGCCACGGCCUUGGCGCCCCCUGCCCCCGGCUGCCCAGGGGAACCAAGUUCCCGCUGCUGGAGUUGGGGCAGAGGAGCCCCGCCUCAUUCAGGAUUCGGUGGCCAGCGCAGAGCCAUUUGAAUAGAAGAAGCCCGAAGUGAAACAGAAAAGCUGAAAACUCCCCGGCUGGGCUCUCCACUUCUCGGUUCUUGCUCACGAGUUCCAAACAGUUAAAGUGACGUUGGCAAGGCCGAGGGCCACCGAGCUCUGUGAGACUCCCUUGGAGGGGUCAGGAAACUUAGCUCGAGAAGCUUGGAGGCGGCUGGGAGUUGGGGCGCAACUUCAGUGACCGGGCGCCGCUGCCGGGCUGGGGCUCCCAAGCGUCCGGCUCCCGGGGUGGUCGACGCGGCGCUGCCUUCGAUCAGGUCCCGCCGACCUCGGGCCUCUGGACCACCACCGCCCCAGCUGGUCUGGCAACCCAUCCCGGGCGCAAUCGCGCUCCUCCCCUUCUCCUCUGCAUUCCCGCAGGUCCUGGGGCGGCUCCAUCCCCCCAAGGCUGAGAGAUGGCGAGGGAGGCUCCAAAGAGUUUCGGGAGGGGGCGCCGGAUCUGGUUUAAGAGACCGCGGAACAGAUGGUGGAGAGCUCCUGGAUGAAAGUUUUUGAACAGGCACUCGCUAAUAGACUUGCUUUGACGACUCAGGGUGUAAUUGAAGGGUCAUUUAAUCUAGACGCAAGGUGAAAGAAAACAGGCCCGGGGGUGUGGCAUACCUAAGGAGGAACUAGAGCAUCUUUUCACUAGGUUUGCCUGUCAUUUUGACUUUCCUGGAAAAUACGUUCUUAAGUCAAAUUUUAAGAAUGUCUGAGAAGCAUCUCUGAGUAUCUCUUCCAAAAACCUUUCGUGUAUUUUUUUAGCCGACCUCCUUCCUCCGAGAAUCCUCCCUUUUGAAGCCGUUUGGCCUGUGCUUAAGAGUAGUUGGGGUCUCCUUAUGGUCCCAGGGCAAAGAGAAUUUUCUAACUAGAUUCUCCUGUUUAAGACCUUAACAGAAAGGCCUUUCUACCUUCCCUUCUUUGGCUUUACUCUCCAAUUUGUUCUUUCAUUCCCGAGUUCUCCCAGUGAAACCCUGCAUCUCCUCUAAAAGAGAGUAUUUCAUGGCUGUCCAAAGAGGGCCAUACCCCGUGGCCACCUCUCGCGGGCCUCCAUAGCCUCUGUAAAAGAGGAAGCACUCAGCCACUGGCCGGCCCCCUUUUGUUGAUGGAAGUGGAUGCUGUUCUGUUUCCUCCCUUCCCGCCCUUAGGCCUCUCCCAGACCAGAUUCUGCACGCCUUGUGCAUGUUUCAAGAGUUGAGCACUAAGAUCCAAUCCCAAGAAGAGGCUUGAUCCAUCAUUAAGAAAUCUUACUACCUUUUAAAAUGUUAUUGCCUUCUCACUUUAAAUUAAUUUAGAAGAUUUUUUUUUUCCCUCUUCCCACUGUCUCCUCUUACUUCAAGUUCAGUUAAUUCUCUGAAUUCACGAACAGUGGGGCUGCCCUCAUAGUUUCUCAGCAGUCCCACACAGAGGAAAAGGCUCCUGGAAACAACGCGAAGCUUUAAGCGCCCCGCGCGGGUGUU
rnacentral:lncRNA from 1 species